GGACGAACGCUGGCGGCGUGGAUUAGGCAUGCAAGUCGGACGGUAGGGCUUUAUCGUAAGAUAGAGUUUGAGAGUGGCGAACGGGUGAGUAACACGUAGGAAUCUACCCUUAAGACGGGGACAACCCAGGGAAACUUGGGCUAAUACCGGAUGAGAGUGCGAGAGAUUGCAUUUAAAAGGAUGGCGAAAGUUGUCGCUUAGGGAUGAGCCUGCGGUCUAUUAGUUAGUUGGUGAGGUAAGAGCUCACCAAGGCGAUGAUAGAUAGGCGGCCUUAACGGGUGGUCGCCCACACUGGGAUUGAGAUACGGCCCAGACUCCUACGGGAGGCAGCAGUCGAGAAUAGUCUACAAUGGCCGGAAGGCUGAUAGUGCGACGCCGCGUGAACGAGGGAGCCCUUCGGGGUGUAAAGUUCUUUUCUAUACGAGCAGUGCUAUAUAUAUGGAUAGUAUAUAUAGAGGGAUAGUAGUAUAGGAAUAAGCAACGGCUAACUCCGUGCCAGCAGCCGCGGUAAUACGUAGGGGGCUAGCGUUGUCCGGAUUUACUGGGCGUAAAGGGUGAGUAGGCGGUUAUGUAUGUCAGAUGUAAAAGGCGCGGGCUUAACUUGCGUUAGCAUUUGAAACUGCAUAACUUGAGUGCAGGAGAGGUAAGCGGAAUUCCUAGUGUAGCGGUGAAAUGCGUAGAUAUUAGGAGGAUCACCGGUGGCGAAGGCGGCUUACUGGACUGUAACUGACGCUGAGUCACGAAAGCGUGGGUAGCAAACAGGAUUAGAUACCCUGGUAGUCCACGCUGUAAACGAUGAGUGCUAGGUGUUGGGUAGCGAUACUCAGUGCCGGAGUAAACACAAUAAGCACUCCGCCUGGGGAGUACGGUCGCAAGACUGAAACUCAAAGGAAUUGACGGGGACCCGCACAAGCAGCGGAGCAUGUGGUUUAAUUCGAAGCAACGCGAAGAACCUUACCAAGGCUUGACAUCCCCUUGACAGAAUCAGAGAUGUUUCCUCUCCUUCGGGAGCAAGGGAGACAGGUGGUGCAUGGUUGUCGUCAGCUCGUGUCGUGAGAUGUUGGGUUAAGUCCCGCAACGAGCGCAACCCUUAUCCUUAGUUGCCAGCAAUAAGAUGGGCACUCUAAGGAGACUGCCGGUGAUAAACCGGAGGAAGGUGGGGAUGACGUCAAAUCAUCAUGCCCCUUAUGUCUUGGGCUACACACGUGCUACAAUGGUCGGUACAACGGGCAGCGAAGGAGCGAUCCGGAGCAAAUCCCAAUAAACCGAUCCCAGUUCGGAUUGCAGGCUGCAACUCGCCUGCAUGAAGUCGGAGUUGCUAGUAAUCGCGAAUCAGAACGUCGCGGUGAAUGCGUUCCCGGGUCU
rnacentral:rRNA from 1 species